rnacentral:rRNA from 1 species
GAUGAACGCUGGCGGCGUGCCUAACACAUGCAAGUCGAGCGAACGGACGAGAAGCUUUCUCUUCUGAUGUUAGCGGCGGACGGGAGAGUAACACGUGGUUAACCUACCUCUAAGACUGGGAUGACUACGGCAAACCGGAGCUAAUACCGGAUGAUAUUUUGCACCUCAUGGUUCAAAAGUGAAGGACGGUCUUGCUGUCACUUAUAGAUGGAUCCGCGCUGCAUUAGCUAGUUGGUAAGGUAACGGCUUACCAAGGCAACGAUGCAUAGCCGACCUGAGAGGGUGGUCGGCCACCCGGGAAGAGAGACGGGGCCCAGACACCGACGGUAGGCAACAGUAGAGAAUCUUACGGGAGGCGCGAGAGCCGGACGGAGCAACGCCGCGGGAGGGAUGAAGGACUCCGGAUGGGAGAACUAUGUUGGUAGGAGAGAAGAAAUGUGUAAGUAACUGUGCACAUCUUGACGGUACCUGGUCAAGAAGCCCCGGCUAACUACGUG